UCAAUCACUUCCUCUACUUUUUCUUUGCUUCUCUUCCUCUUCUGUUUUUCUCUGUGUGGGCUUCAUUUUCCGUCAAACUCUCCCCAUAUGAAAGCAAAGAUGAGCACUAAACAGUCCAGGCUUAUAUUAUUCUCACAGUUAGCAAUUUCAGUGAAAAGGGGCAACUGUUCCUGUACCAGCAUUUGCGACCAUCUUAGAUUAUGUUGUUUGGUCCCUCCUGGACCAGUUGUGUGUCUAAAGAAUUUAGGUAGUCUGAUUGUGUGGUGAGCCAUGUUUGUAGACCGUUGCCACCAUUAGAAGAUGGCGUCGGUCUCCGUUGUGGAUCUUGGUAAACAACUCCUUAUUAGGAAGAGUUGGUGCGCUGUCCCUCAAUACCCUAUGAGAAAACCCCGCGUGGCAGCUUUGGAUUGGACUUGAGUAAGCUUUAUUAGGCUGUGUGUGGGUGCACGGAAGCAAGCGCGCUUGAGAGAAGACUAGAAUUAAGGCCUGAAUAAACCGCUGAAAGAAGAAUCCUGUGUCGUGUCUUCCUUGCUGGCGAGGGGGUCGCGACAAUUGGUGGCCCGUACGGGGAACCGAAUACCUCUCAAUCUCAGGAUCCAGAACUUUCAGCGGUCAGGGUGGUGCACCGGUAAGUUCCCAGGUAAGUGGGAAUCCACAGAAAAUUAGCGGGUCGCUCCUCUGUAAAAAGAGAGAGCGGGGAUUUUUUUUUUUUUUUGGACUUUCGCUUUAUUUCUUUGCUUUCGCUUUCUGCAUUAACGCA
rnacentral:lncRNA from 1 species